CUAGUCAUAUUUGACUCCAAAACACUAACAAAAGUUCUUCUUGCUUCUCAAAGCUUUGAUGGUGUAGGCAAAGUCCGUAUGAGUCUUUGGCUUUGUAUCUUCUAACAAGGAAACACUACUUAGGCUUUCAAGAUCGGGUUGCGGUUCUAGUUCUCAUACUCAUUCAUACACAUGACAUCUACUCAUAUUUAACUCUAAAACACUAACCAAGCUUCUUCUUGCUUCCCAAAGCUUCGAUGAUGUAGCCGAAGUCCGUAUGAGUCUUUGGCUUUAU
rnacentral:sRNA from 1 species